rnacentral:tRNA from 1 species
GGAGAGGUGGCAGAGCGGUUGAAUGCGCCGGAUUCGAAAUCCGGUAUGGCGGUUUCCGUCAUCGGGGGUUCGAAUCCCCCCCUCUCCG